rnacentral:rRNA from 1 species
ACGGAAGGCAGCAGUGAGGAAUAUUGGUCAAUGGGCGGAAGCCUGAACCAGCCAAGUCGCGUGAGGGAAGACGGCCCUACGGGUUGUAAACCUCUUCUGCGCGGGGGUAAAGUCGGGGACGGGUCCCCGAUUGCAAGUACCGCGCGAAAAAGGAUCGGCUAACUCCGUGCCAGCAGCCGCGGUAAUACGGAGGAUCCGAGUGUUAUCCGGAUUUAUUAGGUUUAAAGGGUGCGCAGGCGGGACAUUAAGUCGGCGGUGAAAUACCGUGGCCCAACCACGGGGCUGCCGUCGAUACUGAUGACCUAGAGUGCGUGUGACGUAGGCGGAAUGUGACGUGUAGCGGUGAAAUGCUUAGAUAUGUCACAGAACACCGAUUGCGAAGGCAGCCUACGAAUGCGUAACUGACGCUCAUGCACGAAAGCGCGGGUAGCGAACAGGAUUAGAUACCCUGGUA